CAGUAGCCGCGGGAAAACGGAGGGUGCAAGCGUUAAUCGGAAUUACUGGGCGUAAAGCGCACGCAGGCGGUCUGACAAGUCAGAUGUGAAAUCCCCGGGCUUAACCUGGGAACUGCAUUUGAAACUGUCAGGCUGGAGUCUUGUAGAGGGGGGUAGAAUUCCAGGUGUAGCGGUGAAAUGCGUAGAGAUCUGGAGGAAUACCGGUGGCGAAGGCGGCCCCCUGGACAAAGACUGACGCUCAGGUGCGAAAGCGUGGGGAGCAAACAGGAUUAGAGACCCCUGUAGUCCCUGUCUCUUAUAC
rnacentral:rRNA from 1 species